AAAAAGUUUUAUUUUAGCUAAAAUAAUGGGUUUAUUCUUUAUUUACAUGUAAAUUUUAGUAAAUUUUUAUACAAUUUUAGAUAAUAUGUGUAAAAAAAUUAAUCGCAGUAUUUUAAAUUAAUUAUUAAGGAGACUUAGAAUUAGAAAUUUAUAAUAAUAUUAACAUAAUUUGUGCCAGCAGUUGCGGUUAUACAAAUAAUAUAAUUUAUUAUUUUUAAUAUGUAAUUAAUUUUAUUUAAUUAUUUAUAUAGUAUAGUUUAUUAGGUGAAAUUUUAUAUUAUACAUAAUUAUAAUUAAAGAUUUUGAAGUUAUUAAAUUUUAUAUAAAACUAGGAUUAGAUACCCUAUUAUAAAAAUGUAAAUUUCUAGAUUAAAUUAAUAAUAGUUAUAAUCUUAAAAGUUAAAAAAUUUGGCGGUAUUUUAAUCUAUUCAGAGGAAUCUGUCCUGUGAUUGAUACUCCACGAUUAAAUUUACUUAUUUUAAAAAUUUAUAUAUCGUCGUAGUUGAAUAUUUUAAAAGAAUUUUAAUAUUCUAAAAUUUUUAUAUAAAAGUAAAUCAGAUCAAGGUGUAGUUUAUAAAUAAGAAGAGAUGGAUUACAAUAAUUUUAUUUUUGGAUUUGUAGUUGAGAAUAAUAAUGAAAUUGGAUUUGAUAGUAAUUAAAUUUAUUUUAAUAUAAUGAUUUAAGCUCUAAAAUAUGUACAUAUCGCCCGUCGCUUUCAUUUAAGUUGAAAUAAGUCGUAACAUAGUAAAUGUACUGGAAAGUGUAUUUAGUUUGAU
rnacentral:ncRNA from 1 species